AUUGAACGCUGGCGGCAUGCCUUACACAUGCAAGUCGAACGGCAGCACGGGUGCUUGCACCUGGUGGCGAGUGGCGAACGGGUGAGUAAUACAUCGGAACAUGUCCUGUAGUGGGGGGUAGCCCGGCGAAAGCCGGAUUAAUACCGCAUACGAUCUACGGAUGAAAGCGGGGGACCUUCGGGCCUCGCGCUAUAGGGUUGGCCGAUGGCUGAUUGGCUAGUUGGUGGGGUAAAGGCCUACCAAGGCGACGAUCAGUAGCUGGUCUGAGAGGACGACCAGCCACACUGGGACUGAGACACGGCCCAGACUCCUACGGGAGGCAGCAGUGGGGAAUUUUGGACAAUGGGCGAAAGCCUGAUCCAGCAAUGCCGCGUGUGUGAAGAAGGCCUUCGGGUUGUAAAGCACUUUUGUCCGGAAAGAAAUCCUUGGCCCUAAUACGGUCGGGGGAUGACGGUACCGGAAGAAUAAGCACCGGCUAACUACGUG
rnacentral:rRNA from 1 species